AGCUCCAAUAGCGUAUAUUAAAGUUGUUGCAGUUAAAAAGCUCGUAGUUGAAUUUCUGUCACUUGCGGGUGGCACAUCUUAACAGAUGUUGAUCACUUUGCUGUGACAUUUAUCUGUUUCGGCUAUGUGCCUAUAAACACAUGGUCGUUUAGCAGAUCUUUUACUUUGAGUAAAUUAGAGUGUUCCAAGCAAGUCAUUGCCAUGAAUACUUCAGCAUGGAAUAAUAACAUAGGACUUUGGUUCUAUUUUGUUGGUUUCAAGGGCUAAAGUAAUGAUUAAUAGGGAUAGUUGGGGGCAUUCGUAUUUAACAGUCAGAGGUGAAAUUCUUAGAUUUGUUAAAGACGAACUACUGCGAAAGCAUUUGCCAAGGAUGUUUUCAUUAAUCAAGAACGAAAGUAGG
rnacentral:rRNA from 1 species